AAGUCGUAACAAGGUUUCUGUAGGUGAACCUGCGGAAGGAUCAUUAACACAGCCCAUGUGAAGCAGCAAUUCCGGUAAAUCAAGUGGGAGGAACAUUUUUGAUUCGGAACCUCUGCUCCAUCUGUGAUAAGUUACAAUUGAGCGGUAGAGCAAGUGGCAUGGCGUCCCCAAGCCUCCAGUGAAUGACAGCGUCACUGGAACAGUGUAAGGAUAACGCUUCUCGGUUGCUAGAGGUCGAUCACCGACCGGCAGACAUGUCACAGGGUCACCGCGCCCCUAAUCUCCCCCUCUGAAACUUUGACGCCCCGAUGAAAAUCCGGGUGAGAAAAAACCGAACAACUGUUAACAAUGGAUAUCUUGGUUCUC
rnacentral:misc_RNA from 1 species